UACGUAGGGUGCAAGCGUUUAAUCGGAAUUACUGGGCGUAAAGCGUGCGCAGGCGGUCCGUUAAGACAGAUGUGAAAUCCCCGGGCUUAACCUGGGAACUGCAUUUGUGUACUAGGCGGACUCGAGUAUGGCAGAGGGGGGGUAGAAAGUUCCACGUGUAGCAGUGAAAUGCGUAGAGAUGUGGAGGAAUACCGAUGGCGAAGGCAGCCCCCUGGGCCAAUCUGACGCUCAUGCA
rnacentral:rRNA from 1 species